UCGUCGCCGCUCGCUCCUGCUUUUAUUUUCCUACGGCUGUCCCUGCUAUCUUCCCAUCCCAAUGAGAGACAAGUAUGUCAUCUUUUCUGUCUACAAUACACUCCCCUCCUGGAAAUCCUAAAAAAAAAGAGAAAAGAAGAUGGAACCGAUUCACACGAGAGAUAUAAAAGAAAAUUAAUUUUACAUGCGACAAGCCUUUAAAUGUUGCUAAAAAGCAGCACGUAAAUGACAGCGCUUUGUGUCUCUCAACAGAAGGGUCUGUGGAGAGCUGGGUGACAUUCCCUAUAAGCAUAGUUUGUUCAAAUGACCAACUCAGCUCUGCUACAUCCAUAUCUGAAACACAAUGGAUAAAUCACUAUGUUACGAGUUCUGCCAAAUGACCAACUCAGCUCUGCUGUAUUUGUGCUUGAAAGAAAAUGUUUUAUCUCAUUACUAAAUUAUGAGUUCGGCCAAGUGACCAACUCAGCACUGCUACAUCCGUGCUUGAAAGAAAAAAUGUCACCACAUCUCUAGGAGUAUUGCCAAAUUACUAACUCAGCUCUACUAUAUCCAUGUUUGAAUAAAAAAAGUUGCAUUACAUCUCUGUAUUAGGAGUAUUGCCAAGUGACCAACUCAGCUCUGCUUUAUCCAUGCUUGAAGGAAACUUAUUAAUCGCAUCACUAUUUAAUGAGUUCUUCUAAAUUGCCAACUCAGCUCUGCUACAUCCGUGCUUGGAAGAAAAAGUUUCAUUACAUGACUAUAUUAUAGGUUUGUUCAAAUGACCAACUCAGCUCUGCUACAUCCAUAUCUGAAACAAAACGGAUAAAUCGCAACGUUACGAGUUCUGCCAAAUGACCAACUCGUCCAUGCUUGAAAGAAAAUACUUCAUCACAACUUUUUAAUGAGUUCUGCCAAACAACCAACUCAACUCUGCUAUAUCUCUGCUAGAAGGAAAAUGCUUAAAGGGGUA